AGGUAUAAAUAUACACAUAUAUACAUAUACAUAUACAUACAUAUCUUCUCAUUUCACUCCACUAUCUCUGCAUCUUCUGCAUGGAUAAUAAUUUAAACUACUUAUUUCUAAGUUUAUGGAUUAAGACUUGAAAGUUAACUAUACAUGUAUAAGGUAUCAAAUGAGUAGUGUCAAAUUAUGAAGAUUUCAUGUCUAGGGAGCUUCACCAACUUCAUGCAAUAUUUUUUAUGUUCAGAGUGCUUGGACUUUAGUUCAAAAAGCUAACUCCUUGGACAUUAGUUGAAAUAAAUAACUCCUGCAAAAUUAUAGAAUUUGUAGUAGAGAAGUAGGUGCAAACGACACGAAGUUGAGUUAAGUUUAAAUUUUACGUAAUAGUUUUUUUAACAUUGAAAAAGCUAGUUUCUAGAGUUUAAAUUUUACGUAAUAGUUUUUUUAACAUUGAAAAAGCUAGUUUCUAGAGAUAUUACAUCGAUUAGAGAUUAGAGCAUUUCAUAAUAUUUUGAAAAGUUAAGUUAGAUUCAAAAUAUUUUUUUUUUAGUAGUCAACUAAAUGCAAUGUUUUGUAGGUUAACAAUUAACUCUUGACUUUGUUUUUCAAAUGGGGUGUUCUUAUGUGAAUUCCAGAUGAGCUUAUCAAGAAUGCUAAGUACAUAGCCACACCAGGGAAGGGUAUUUUGGCAGCAGAUGAGAGCACUGGCACCAUUGGAAAGCGUCUAGCCAGCAUUAACGUUGAGAACAUUGAGGCAAACCGCCAAGCCCUUCGAGAGCUUCUCUUCACCGCUCCAAAUGCCCUCCAAUACCUCUCUGGUGUCAUCCUCUUUGAGGAAACCCUUUACCAGAAAACCUCUGAUGGGAAGCCUUUUGUUGAGGUCCUUAACGAGAACAAUGUGAUCCCAGGCAUCAAGGUGGACAAGGGUGUUGUUGAGUUGGCUGCCACAAACGGUGAAACCACCACACAGGGCUUUGACUCUCUUGGAGCUCGGUGCCAGCAGUACUACAAGGCAGGGGCACGCUUUGCAAAGUGGCGUGCAGUUCUCAAAAUUGGCCCCAAUGAGCCCUCU
rnacentral:lncRNA from 1 species